rnacentral:rRNA from 1 species
UGAACGCUAGCGGCAGGCUUAAUACAUGCAAGUCGUGGGGCAGCAGGUCCAUAGCAAUAUGGAUGCUGGCGACCGGUCAAACGGGUGCGGAACACGUAACGCAACCUUCCUUUAAAGUGAGGAAUAGCCCAGGGAAACUUGGAUUAAUACCUCGUAACAUUAUGAAGUGGCAUCACUUUAUAAUUAUAGCUCCGGCGCUUAAAGAUGGGCGUGCGUCUGAUUAGGUAGUUGGCGGGGUAAAGGCCCACCAAGCCUGCGAUCAGUAACUGGUGUGAGAGCACGACCAGUCACACGGGCACUGAGACACGGGCCCGACUCCUACGGGAGGCAGCAGUAAGGAAUAUUGGUCAAUGGACGAAAGUCUGAACCAGCCAUGCCGCGUGAAGGAUGAAGGUCCUCUGGAUUGUAAACUUCUUUUAUAUGGGACGAAGAAAGGGUUUUUCAACUCAACUGACGGUACCAUAUGAAUAAGCACCGGCUAACUCCGUGCUAGCA